rnacentral:rRNA from 1 species
GAUGAACGCUGGCGGCGUGCCUAAUACAUGCAAGUCGAGCGAACAGACGAGGAGCUUGCUCCUCUGACGUUAGCGGCGGACGGGUGAGUAACACGUGGAUAACCUACCUAUCAGACUGGGAUAACUUCGGGAAACCGGCGCUAAUACCGGAUAAUAUAUUGAACCGCAUGGUUCAAUAGUGAAAGACGGUUUUGCUGUCACUUAUAGAUGGAUCCGCGCCGCAUUAGCUAGUUGGUAAGGUAACGGCUUACCAAGGCAACGAUGCGUAGCCGACCUGAGAGGGUGAUCGGCCACACUGGAACUGAGACACGGUCCAGACUCCUACGGGAGGCAGCAGUAGGGAAUCUGACGCAAUGGGCGAAAGCCUGACGGAGCAACGCCGCGUGAGUGAUGAAGGUCUUCGGAUCGUAAAACUCUGUUAUUAGGGAAGAACAAAUGUGUAAGUAACUAUGCACGUCUUGACGGUACCUAAUCAGAAAGCCACGGCUAACUACGUG